AAGUUUUAUUUUAGAGCUUUAAGGCUACGUUUUGUUGGAGAACUAAAUUUUGAAGAACAACUUUUGUUGUUCCCGAGAACAAGGGAUACUCCGGUAUAAGAUAGAACAAUUGUAAAUUUAUAUUUGGAUGUAUUCGAAAAUAUUCUCGAGGAUAUCCUUAGUAGCGUUUGGAUAAAAAGUGUAGAACAAUGUCUAAAUAGAUUUUAAAAUUAAAAUAAUUAAUU
rnacentral:lncRNA from 1 species